AUAUGAGACUCAAGCCAAAACUUUCAAUUAAAUUAAAAAAAAAAAAAAAAACCUACCCAAGAGAAGGAAAGAAAAAUAUAAGGUUUAAAAAUCGAUCUUGGCAUGUAACGAUUUUUAUUUUUACUUGUUUAUUUUUUCAAGUCAAGGGAAGCAGUCAACUAAGAUGGCUGUACACCAUAGUGAGUAGUAGACGAGUCGUUAAUUGGGCGAACGUCUGCUAGUGACGUGUACUGGGAAUACAUACUACAAGUAACCCCAUGGGGCUAUUCCUGCUGUUCUUGGACGUUUCUGCAGGGGAGAGAAUCUCAAAACUCUUGUCAUUCUCCGAGUCGUUUUAUUUGUUUGGC
rnacentral:lncRNA from 1 species